AUGAAGGCAUGUAUGUUGUAACUAACAAGGGAGCAAGUGCUACAAAGCCGGCUUAUCUAAGACCUGGAAAACAGCUGUUAUCACUGCGGGAUGUCACAUUUGGUCAAACAUUUUGCCUACAGAGGUCAUACUGAGUAUAUUCAAAUGAAUACUCAUGGAAAAUAUAUUACCCUUUCUUCAAGAAUAUGCAAACUUUUUGGCACAACUGUAGCUGCAAGUUUAUUGAGCAACCACUUACUUUACUUUCAGCAUAUACGGCAAGAAAAUAUCCCACUGCACAUAGACUUGACUGUACAAAUAUAUGUGAAAAGGUUGUCUUUUUGCAUAUGUUUCACUAUCAUACACUUGGAACCAGCAACCCCAAAUGUAUAAAAAUAAAUGGUGUCAACUGCAUCUUUUAA